rnacentral:rRNA from 1 species
AUGAACGCUAGCGAAGGCUUAACACAUGCAAGUCGUACGAGAAAGUUGGCUUCGGCCGAUGAGUAAAGUGGCGCACGGGUGAGUAAUGCGUGGAUAAUCUGCCCUUUAGUUGGGAAUAACGUACCGAAAGGUGCGCUAAUACCUGAUAAUACUGCAUAACUACUGUUGUGUAGUCAAAGAAGGCCUUUGUUUACAAGCUUUUGCUGAAGGAUGAGUCCGCGUACCAUUAGCUGGUUGGUGGGGUAAUGGCCUACCAAGGCUACGAUGGUUAGCUGGUCUGAGAGGAUGAUCAGCCACACUGGAACUGAGACACGGUCCAGACUCCUACGGGAGGCAGCAGUGAGGAAUAUUGGGCAAUGGGCGGAAGCCUGACCCAGCCAUGCCGCGUGCAGGAAGACGGUCCUAUGGAUUGUAAACUGCUUUUAUACGGGAAGAAACACCCCCUCGUGAGGGGACUUGACGGUACCGUAAGAAUAAGCAUCGGCUAACUCCGUG